rnacentral:rRNA from 1 species
CAAGGUUGACCUCGGAUCAGGUAGGGAUACCCGCUGAACUUAAGCAUAUCCAAAUAAGCGGAA